UAGGUUGGACGGUUUCUUGUGUUGCCAAAUUGGUAAGCUGAUUCCGACAAGGCUGCCAUCUAUCAAAUUUCUUGAAUCCUCCAUGUUUGUAGUCGCCAUCACCCCACCAGAGUGCAUGCAAGGUGAACGGUGCGGUGUUCGUACAUUCCCAGUGUACAUAUAUACAUGUACACCCAGGCAGCCAUACACAGUGACUCAACCCAACUCUGAAUUAAUUGUCUGUAGACAAGAGACGUGCAUGGGUUCUCGAUCGAUCUCAUGCCGUCGAAUAGUUCCGUACGCGAUCGAUCGAUAUGGAUCCACUCACAUCAUCUCGUAAUCUAGCACUGUGACUUGAGGUGGAUGAGGUAGGGCGCUUAAUUAUUAGCACUAUCAUCACAUC
rnacentral:lncRNA from 1 species